rnacentral:rRNA from 1 species
GCAGAGGUAAAGCAUGUUCCUGAAGAUCCACUUAGUUUAAUUCUCAAAGAUGGGUUCAAACUUGUGGCCGAUGCGCUUGUGAAGUCUAGUGGAGAUGAUGAUGACAUACCAGAUGACCUUUGGGAUGUAGUCUCCACAUUUCCAGAUUUUAAUGAAGAGCACGUAGCCCACUACUAUGCGCAUCUUGUGGACAACCCAAAGACCGCAAGAGCCUUCAUGAAACUUUCCCAAACCAACAAGUCUGUUUGGGUGAGUAGGUAUAUCAAGAAGAACUUCUAA